AUGUGAGAAAGGAACAUACCAGUUAAAAUCAUUGUUGUGGAGUUUUAGUUUUUAAAGCUAUAAAGCAAGUGAAAGGACAACAACUUAUUUUUCUUCAGGAGGUGAGAAAUGGCUUUGCUGAAGACAAAGGGGACUGGACCUGUUCAAGGAAGGAAAUAUUGAGCCCUUGGGCCCUUGGUGGGACUGUCUGAGGGCAAGAGCCAUCAUCUGUCGCUGGUGCUGAGGAGGAGGCGGAAAGGGGGAGGAAGGUAAUCCUCCAAUAAGAGAGAACUGAAUCCUCUCUGCUACGCGGACGUCAAAGGAAUUCUCCAAUUGUGUUCAACAGACCGCCACUUUUUAAAGUUACAAGAAUUCCUUGGAAACAGAGAUUGUGGCUAUCUCUGUGCUGAAAAGGUGUCUAGCCAAUGAAGAACAACUCAGUAUUUUCCUGGCUGCCUUUCUAAAGUGGUAUCAUUUGCACUGCUGCUGUAAUCUUCUGCAGUGAGAGGGCCAAUACUGGAGAUGCUGAACUGCUGAACCCCUAUAGCCACCUCAAGAGGAUCUCUUCAGACUGAACUAACUCAUUAAACAUCUUUGCCUGAUUCUCCAUCCCUGACAGGUAAGGUUACUUGGCUUUGUUUUUCUACUUUUGGACUUCGCCCUAUU